CCAAUAGCGUAUAUUAAAGUUGUUGCAGUUAAAAAGCUCGUAGUUGAAUUUCGGGGUUAGUAGGUUGGUCAUGCCUCUGGUAUGUACUGGUCUCACUGAUUCCUCCUUCCUGAUGAGCCGUAAUGCCAUUAAUUUGGUGUUGCGGGGAAUUUGGACUGUUACUUUGAAAAAAUUAGAGUGUUUAAAGCAAGCUAACGCUUGAAUACAUUAGCAUGGAAUAAUGAAAUAGGACGUUCGAUCCUAUUUUGUUGGUUUCUAGGAUUGACGUAAUGAUUAAUAGGGAUAGUUGAGGGCAUUAGUAUUCACUUGUCAGAGGUGAAAUUCUUGGAUUUAUUGACGACUCACUACUGCGAAAGCAUUUGCCAAGGAUGUUUUCAUUAAUCAAGAACGAAAGUUAGGGGAUCGAAGACGAUCAGAUACCGUCGUAGUCUUAACCAUAAACUAUGCCGACUAGGGAUCGGAUGAUGUUAAUUUUUUAAUGACUCAUUCGGCGCCUUACG
rnacentral:rRNA from 1 species